UCGCGCUAGGUGGGGAGUUAGCGGUGCCCUGUUCCCGCAAUCCGCUACAGCGGGGCUGAAUCCCCACCCCAGGCCCGGUGUCUGUGCCACUAUCCUCUCAUGGCAGCGUUGAUGGUUGGGCCCCACGCGACGGCGGCCCGUGAACCCCGCCAGGUCCGGAAGGAAGCAACGGUAAGCGGAUACCGCCGGGCGCCGUGGGACCGCCUGGCCUGAGCUGCCCAGGGGGGACAUGCCCAGGCGCCUCGGUCAAAGGUGGGUGCGCGG
rnacentral:SRP_RNA from 1 species